CUCGGCCUUCCGCUUCCGCCGCCUCAUCUCCAUGCUCAGGCGUCGCCGCCUCGUACUACGCAUUCGAAUUCCUCAAUCUCCGCGACUGCAGCCGCGAGGCCGAUAUGCUCCACCGCUACAUCAUCGUCUUCCGUGUCAUUGCCAACCUUGCCUCCGGCAAGACCCUAACCCGCGCUGUCGACGCGCUGUUUCAACGCCUCUACGAUUCCCUCAACCACGCUUGCCGUCGGGUGCUACUCACCUAGCGCUCCGACCACAUCAGGGCCUCAAUGCUAUAUCAGAGCACCAAGCCCAAGGCAGUGGAGUAUGUACUUGGUUGCCAACUGCCCUGAGCUCAAACCCAAGUUGGCACGCUUGCCUCACUGCAUCUUCCAUCCUACCUCGGUUGUUCCCCGGUACACUUCCCUCUAGUAUGACAGUAUGAGUAUGACUCGUCAGUUCGUCACAGCCGUAUCGCGGCACAUGUCGUUGCUGCUUCCUUUCUUCAAAAGAGGUCUCCUCUGAUAGGUCAAAGGACUCACCAUUCAGCCCAAUACCCCUGUGUCAUGGGCCAACAAGCUGCUACAUCUUCAUCAAGGUCUGCAAGGAAGGCAAGCUCUAAUCGGGAUUCGGGAAUCUGUCGCUGAACUGAACCUGUUGAAGCGAAAGAUGGAGUAGUUCAGCGUUGUCAGACACUGGAGGGUGAAUCUGCAGAUCAGCUGAGGUCCAAGAGGGUGUUCAGACUCGCAGUCCAAGCAAGUUGGCCCAUGAUGGAGGUAGAGUGAUAUUGCCCUACCGCUGCUGCACUGAGGCAGCAAGUCCUCAGUGCAUUUGCAAUGGGAAUGAGAUGACUCCGUAGAGCAACGUGUGAUUGGCAUUGUGCAAUCUUGAACUGCAAGUCCUCAUGGCAUUGUGCAAUCUUGAACAGCACCAUGUGACUGGCGUGUUAUAAUUUUCUAUCUUAUUCAAACCUAGUUAAUAGUUAUCAUCCACUUACUGCAACACGAAUAUCAUCCACUUACUGCAACAGAGACUUUGAAAGUGGGAUAGCUUAAUUAGGAAAUACGAUGGGAUAUUGAAACUUUACAUCUUUUAUAUCUGUUUGCCUUGGUAACCAUAUCUGUUUUGGAGGUGCAUAAGAUAUUUAUAUCAGUUAGCUAUUCAAUCAUCAAAGUUCAAACUACCGGAGCAUGGUAAAGUCCGCUAAAGUUGCUAAUAGCUUGCAAUCUUUUAUUUCCUUAACUUUCAGCCUGGAGAAUUAUCCCAAUGAAUUCUGGCUUGGACUGGUUGAAGACAGGGUGAUUACAUCACUAAGGAAAUUAGUGUUGAGUCUUAGCUAUGUGCUGUAUUUGAGACAAUGGCCCGACGUAACACUGCAGAUACUAGGUCUCUUUUGAAGUAUUGAUAUCAAGGACUCGGUUUAAGAUGGAACGAGGGUGGAUGUAUAGUUUGAAGGCUCCGGAUCCCAAUUUUGUGAAUGGUGUUGAUUCAUUUGUGAAGACGCUCGGGCAUAUUGCAUCAAUAGGCUACAAGAUGAUGACCAUGUGUAUUGCCCAUGUGUUGAUUGCCACAAUCAGAAACAAUUUCGUAAUAUCAAGCAAAUUUGUUGUUAUCUAUUGGUUAGGGGUUUUAUGGUAAACCAUAAUAUUUGGAAUAAGCAUGGAGAAGACGGGGAGAACUUACAACAUGAUGCUUCACGGCAUGAUACCGUCCAGGAAACUGUGCAUGAGAAUAUCGCUGAAAGAGUUCAUGAAAGAGUCGAGGAAACCGUCAAUGAAGUCGGCAAUGAUACGUUGGCAGAUGAUGAAGUAAGUGAUGAUCUAGAUCAGAUGAUACGUGAUGGGGAGCCAAAAUUCCUGGAUGCAAAAAAUCUAAAGAAGUUAGAGCAGAUGAAAAAGGAUGCGAAGACACCGCUGUAUCAGGGUUCUAGUGUGACUAAAUUGGAAGCUGACAUAUUGCUGUUGGAGCUGAAAUCAAGUAAUGGUAUGACGAAGCAAUGAUAACGAAGCUUGGCUUACGUGUAGCCUACAUUAUGCCUUCGCCCUUCUUCUUCUCUGACCUUCCACCGAAUAGACCCACUUGGCUGCUUUCAUCCUCGACAAUGAGCCUGCAUUCUCCAAUGUUCAACAAUUAAAUUUUACUUAAACAACAUUGUGUCAUCCAUGCUGCUAGUUAAUUUAAGUAUCAACUCAAUUUCAAGCCGGCUGGUCUUACCAAGACUCGGGAAGUAGACCUUGAGGUAGUCUUUGAUCUAUCGGCUUGUUUUUGUUUUUAGGCUGAAUGGAUAGUUUCCCCUGGGUGUUAUGUAUAGGUGAAGGUGAAAACAACACAAUAAUCAAUCAAAAAAUGAUAGUAGAUGUGUUUCGAUUCGAUACCAA